AUAGCUCGUACUCCCCGAAAUGCAUUUAGGUGCAGCGUUGAGAUAGAGUGUCAUAGAGGUAGAGCUACUGAUAGGGCUAGGGGGCUUCACCGCCUACCAAACCCUGACAAACUCCGAAUGCUAUGACAUAUGCUCAGCAGUGAGGGCAUGGGUGCUAAGGUCCAUGUCCGAGAGGGAAAGAACCCAGACCACCAGCUAAGGUCCCCAAAUAUAUACUAAGUUGUUUUAACGUUGUGUGAUUACCUUGACAGCUAGGAUGUUGGCUUGGAAGCAGCCA
rnacentral:rRNA from 1 species